UACGUAGGUGGCAAGCGUUGUCCGGAAUUAUUGGGCGUAAAGCGCGCGCAGGUGGUCCUUUAAGUCUGAUGUGAAAGCCCACGGCUCAACCGUGGAGGGUCAUUGGAAACUGGGGGACUUGAGUGCAGAAGAGGAAAGUGGAAUUCCAAGUGUAGCGGUGAAAUGCGUAGAGAUUUGGAGGAACACCAGUGGCGAAGGCGACUUUCUGGUCUGUAACUGACACUGAGGCACGAAAGCGUGGGGAGCAAACAGG
rnacentral:rRNA from 1 species